UAUAAUUUGGUCAUAAAAAUAUAACAUGUUGAAAAGUCCAUUAAUUUUCUGUUACGAUUUAGUGCGGGAAAAAAAUCACACAUGUUUUGUUUCUUGAAAACCUAACUAUAUGUUGACCCAAAAAAUAUUAUUUUCAAGCUUUCUAAUUUUUCCUAGGUUUCACCUCUUUGUCUCUCUCCUCUGUCUCUAGCUCCUCUGUAUUCUCCACCGACGUUUCAUAAGGCAAUUAGAAACAGAGAAAAUGUUUCCAUGGCGUAAGUCAAAUACAAAUAUUAUUAUCUAAAGGAGGGACAUGAGACAGAAUUGAGUUCUGCAAAAGCUCAGACACACGGAGAAAUGAGAAGCAGUUGUAAGACCAUCUCUAAUAUUAGAGGUUCUUGGGUUUUUAAUGUAUGUAUUACGUAUAUAUAUAAAUAAUUGUGAGUCCAUAAUUAUUAUGUAAACCCAUAAAUAAGGGUUUUUAGGAAUUCGUAAAACCUUUCUUUAAGAAUCUUUGCCAGUGAGGUUCCACAAAAAUUAUGGAUCUCACAAUUACUUAUACAUAUAUAACAUAUACAUAUAUAUAUAUAUACAUACAUAACAUAUAUUCCCUCCGUUUCAUAAUAGAUGAUGUUUUAGAAGAUUUUUGUUGUUUCAAAAUAGAUGAUGUUUUGAUAUUUUUAUGUUAUUUUUAACUUUA